AUAUAUAGAAUUCUAAAAAUGUAAAGAGAUAGUAUCCAAACAGAUUGAACUAAAUCCCUUGAGCCUUGAACAUACUAAUAUGUAUGUCUAAACUUUAUUCACUAAUACAACAGUUAUACAUAUGAUAUAUGCACCAGAACUUGGCAUAAGCAGCAACAUAGUCAAACUGAUAUGUACAUUUCAACAAGUGAUUCAUAUUUCAGAGGCACAAGUAGCACAAGUGCAAGAAUCACCACACUUGCAGAAGGCCUUGGUGGAACCACCUGAAACAGCGUCAGAGCAACCACAAGGGUUGCAGCCACAGUGUGAGCCACAAGAGCACUGCUUAUGCUCAAUAUCACCUGAACUAGCAGCGUUAAACUGGCAUCCUUGGCAUCCUUCACCACCAGGGCACGGCAUCGGACAACCACAGCUGUCACUGCAAUCACCACCAUGGGACCUUAAAUCAGACCUAAUAUCAGCAAUUUUAGCUACCUCUUGUAAUCUAUAUAUUUCACCAGUUUUUACUAUAAUGAUGAUUGAAUAGUGACCGGAGAGAUGUACAGACUUAUCUAUAGUGACUGGCCUAUUGUAUCUAUGUUAUGUGGCAACUGCAUGCAUGCAUAGACCUUACUAACCCGAUUCCUGAUUCCAAAUCCACACUGAUCCAAACAUAUGAAAUGAAGAAUGGAGUUUCAAACUGAUACCUUAUUGACCUGAUUCCCGAUUCCAAAUCAACACUGCUUGGUAAAACCAACGACUCACUUUCAGUCUCAAAUACAAGCUUGUCAGUCAUGGCAGUCCUGUACAAGUACACCAAAAUCUUAGCUUUCUGCAGUUACUUUUCUUUCUCUAUGUAUCUGAAGAAAUAUUAACAAAGUUGAAGCUAUUCCAAUGAAACAGAAAUCAAAGUUCAAACCCCAAAAAGUCCAUUCUGCCAUUUUUUUUAUAAUGGUAAAAUUCUUUUCAGCUAAAACUUUGUACGAUGUUUUUUAUGGUUAUGUGUAUACUGAUGUAUCUGUGUCCUGUGUGUGAUCUCACUUGACUCUUGCAUUUUGCAUGUUAAAGUAGCUGGCUAGGGUUCAUGAUAGCUGGCUUCUUAUUAAAAGAUGAAUAUAUUACCUCCGGAAGUAGUAGUAGAAGAAACCAGCGUAAAGCGAUACCUGAAUAAUCCCGGAUAUCAAAGCUGAAAGUUGCAACCAUUUUCGUUUUAUUAUUAAUGAACAGAAGAAAGGGGCAGAUGGAGAAAGGAGGAGUUGAACCAACUUAGGUAAAAACUGAAUAAAACACACACAUAUCCAAAGAACAAAGUGUCGUUCCGCGAAGUAGCGGUAUAUCCAGUUCAAGACGUAGAAUGCUUUAUAUGCACUGUAAAGAGGAGGAAACGCAAGUCAGGUCCUGCUUCUCAUUUGAACCCACAAGUAAUAACUUUGAUAGUAGGAUGAUAUUGAAAACACACAAAAGCUGUUAUGCAACAUACUUAUUGAUAAAUAAUUGAUUAAUAAAAAUGUGCACCGUAUCGAGUUGUCAAUGCAAGGGUCCUCUAGUUAAAUUAUGUUAGAGCAGAUUAUUUCCACGUUCAUCUGAAGAUAUCUGAGACUACACAAGUCAUAUUCUAAUAUAUUUGCAGCCACCAGUCUCUGACAACCAUGCUGGAAUUGCUAAUUGCUUGGGAAAAUGGUAUCAACUAGAUCAACAAUUAAUUUAACUAAAGUAAGUUACCAUGAUAUAAAGGUAAUAUCUUUCUGGCACACGGUAGUAUGUCCGUGUGUUGGUUAUCCAGGAGCAGUAAACGCCUACAGAAUUAUCAACCAUUUUUGGUACCUUGGAUAAUUAUCGUAACAUUGGUUGUUUGUGAUUCAGUUUAUUGAUUAAAUGUAACGAUUUACGGCUUUAAAGAUAGGAAGCCCAGAACAUAACAGAACCACUAGAUUGUAAAGCAAUUGGCAUUUAGACUCACUACCCACAUAUAUAUAGUCUACAAACUAUGAUUAAUCACAAGAAGAUAGUUGUGCAUCCAUUGACGGAUUCAGGGCGGGGGCGGGGGUAUGGGGUGGCCUUGGUACCCUCAAGACCUCAUAUUUGCUUAUAUUUUCGUGAUUAAAACUUAUAAUAUAGGGUAUUUGGUCCUCCCAAAUUUAGUAUAUUUGGUACCCCACAACUCAAUAUAUCUCAAAAUCAUUCACUUUUUACCCAUAAAUAUCUAUAAUAUUCAUUAUUUGGCUCCACAGAACCUGCCAUGUUUGUCUACUUCGGCCUUAACUUUUUUUGUUUAAGUUUCCGCCGCCCAGAAUUUUUUUUUCUGGUGCCCUCCCUGUGUGCAUAUAAUGUUGAACUAUUACCAACUGAACCUAAAGGGCUAAAAUCAGUUUGUAGUGAUUACCCAAGGAGGAACACAUAUUGCCCUAUCAAAUUGUCAUUAUUUCUUGUCCUUCGUACCAACACUAGCUGAGGAAGUAUGCCAAUAGCCUCCAAAUAUACAGAGAAUGUCCACAUUACCUGUUCAAAGAUACAAAAACAGAAAUAGUUAGGGAACCGAUCCUAUGUUAACUUAGAACUGAAAAACUCAACUUACUUAAACAUGAAUAACCGCUUACAAGAAAAGAGAGAAAUGUAAUUGUAGUACAGGGAACAUAUUACCUCUAGGAAAGUGAACCUUUCAUUUGUAACUAGGGCCAGAAGAAAACAAGGCAGCAAAAGAAAGUAGUGGCGAAAUGUGUCUAGGUGUUUAUCAUAGGAUUUGUGGACAAUUUUGUGAUGCCUUAUGUACCAAACAAUAGACAAAGAGCUCCCGAAGAAGAAUAUCUUCAUUACAGAAUUGUAUAGCGAGAUAAAAUAAAUGAAAAUAUCCAGGUAGCGAGUAGCGAAGACAAGAGCAUAAAGCUCUUGAGUCUUUAGUGAAACGCCUGAAUGCAAGUCGAGAAGCCAAAAUUAAAUGUCAACAACAUAGCAAUAACAGGAAAGCUGAAACUGAUACAACAUGCAGAAUUGCAGAGUAUUGGCAAGAGUGCAGAAUAAAUAUUAUACUGAUUGCCUAAAUAAUGUAACCCGUUAAUAUACUGUGCAUAAUACUUUUGCUUGUUAUUUCUUUGAUAUGCAUCCUAACAAGUUUCUGACGGCCACACCACUCUCACUCUUAAACUUCUCAACCUUCUAAAAACCCAAUGAUAACAUAUGCUCCCUUGACGUUAUUACUGCAAUAAUUCCCAUUUUCAAUUACUAUAUCAUAGAUACAUGUCAUAAAACACAACUUAUUUCUAAGUAUAAAUUAUACCUUCACACCAGUGAUAAUUCUAUAUUAGCUGACUAACAAUCAUCUCAUUACCUGAUGCGAAACAACCCCCCAAAUUGUUCCAUCCAGCAGUCAAGUGAGCAUAGAACCACUUGAAGUUACUUACUGUUAACAGUAGCUUUAUAACUUCUCAAAAUCUCGAGGUAUUAUGAAAUACCACUUGAAGUUACUUACUGCUAACAGUAGCUUUAUAACUUCUCAAAAUCUCGAGGUAUUAUGAAAUACCACUUGAAGUUACUUACUGCUAACAGUAGCUUUAUAACUUCUCAAAAUCUCGAGGUAUUAUGAAAUACCACUAAAUAUUCAUCCCCCCCCCCCCCCCCAAAAUUGUUCCAUCCAGCAGUCAAGUGAGUAUAGAACCACUUGAAGUUACUUACUGUUAACAGUAGCUUUAUAACUUCUCAAAAUUUCGAGGUAUUAUAAAAUACCACUAAAUAUUCAUCCACAACAAACACACCAAGAAGCAACAAUAAAGGCAUCUACAUAUAAUUUUGAAAAAAGAGGCCUCUCCCAAACAUAGGAGACAACUAAGAUUUCUUAAACCUUAAUGCAUGUUUGGUAAAAAGAAUGACGUGGAAGGAAUGAAAAUUUAUAAACAAAACUCGAGGAUAAAAGCACUAAAUACUCAAAAGAAAAAAACAAAUAAACCAAAACCCGAUUCACAUUUUCACCAAAAAACUUCAAGAAACCAAAAGGGUAAGCUCCAAUUGCCAAGAAAAUGAGAAACAACACACCAAAAUACAAAAAGCUUCCAACUUUAAACACCAAUUAACAAAAAGAUUACAACUUUAUAAUCAAAAAUAUACAAGAACAAGUAAAUGGGGAGUUGGAUACCAGCACAAGAUUUCAUGGAGUGAAUCUUGAAAAUCAAAAGAACACCAGCAGCCAGAUGGCUCAUGUCCCCUAGUAACCUGAAUAUAUACAUCAUUGAUGUGUGUAUCUAAUACCUAUACACCCAUUAAAGAAAAUUUUUCACUGAGUUGCAAAAUGUUAGCCCAGCAAGAAGAUGAGAGUAACAGAGCAGACAGAACCCACAUUUCUUUAUCAAGUUGACGAGGUCAAAUUCUACUCCCUCCAGGUCCAGGUCGUCUCACUUUUUUUGCAUUGCUCGUGUGACUUUUCUCUGCUCAAUUACAUACCAGGUCCUCAUCCUGGGCAAGUACGCUGGUGAAUCUAGGGGUGAGCAAAAAAACAAAAAAACAGAAACAUAGCCUAAAAAUCGAAAAACCAAAUCGAAAAAAAUUGUAACCGAUAAAAACCGAAAAAACUCAUAACCGAACCGAUAUAACGGUUUAAACCGAGCCGAACCGACCCGUGCACGCCCCUAGGUGAAUCUAUCGUUUUUUAAAAUAUUCAUAUCCAUAGUCGAGUUAAAUAAUAACCCUAUAGAUAAAUAAUCAUUUUACUCAUUCAAUAAUUAAAAUGUUUUAAAUAUGUUGAAAAAAUAUUAUAUUCCUGAUAGCAGUACAUCAUAUUGAGUUUGGGUCCUGUAUAUUUCAUCAUUAUAAAUUUGUUCAAUAAAUAAUAAUAUUAAUUUAUACAAUACAUAUUUAUCUGAAAAACUAUAAUUUUAAAUGUCAAAAACUCAAAAAAAGAAGUGUUAUAUUACUAAAAGCUUCAGAUGAACAAACGACAAUCCGUGUAAAAUAUGAUCAAUAUUAAUAGGAGUAUUGUUUUCAGAAGUCUAUCCAUGCUACAAGAAUCAUUUCUGGACAAAGUUUGAAACUUUAAUCUUAAAUACAUGCUUGUCAGUCAUGGCAGUCCUGUACAAGACCCAAAUCUAAGCGCUCUUCAAUUUCUUAACAGAACCCACAUCUAUCUACAUUCAUACUCAUAAAAGGUGGAGCUUUUUAAAGAAAAUAGAAACCAAGGUUGAUGAAAGUUCAAACCCCCGAAGCCAGAGCUCAUUUUGCAGUUUCUUGAUCAUGGCAAGUUUCUCGGCAUAUGCAGCAACAUAGUCAGACUGAUGUGUAUAUUUCAACAAGUACUUCAUGUCACAGAGGCACAGGUAGCACAAGUGCAAGAAUCACCACACUUGCAGAAGGCCUUGCCGGAACCACCUGUAACAGCACUAGAGCAACUGCAAGGGUUGCAGGCACAGUGUGAGCCACAAGAGCACUGCUUAUG
rnacentral:lncRNA from 1 species